rnacentral:rRNA from 1 species
UACGUAGGGACCGAGCGUUGUCCGGAAUCAUUGGGCGUAAAGAGCGUGUAGGCGGCUUGCUAAGUCUUGCGUGAAAACUCGGGGCUUAACCCCGAGCCUGCAGUGGAUACGGGCAGACUAGAGGUAGGUAGGGGAGAAUGGAAUUCCCGGUGUAGCGGUGAAAUGCGCAGAUAUCGGGAGGAACACCGGUGGCGAAGGCG